AUGGCACUCUAUGGGUUCUCUGGGCUGCCUGGUCUGGUGGUUGGCGGCCCUGCACACAGCAGGGGGUUGGAACUGAUGAACUUUGAGGUCCUUUUCAACCCAGGCCACCCUAUGUUCCCCUGUGAGGAGCUGGGAUGGCACUGGUGUCAGCGUGCCAACCCGAUGGGAAGCACACGGCGCCGGCAGGGCUGCUGCCAUCAGCCUGGGGAGCACCCAGAACUGCUGCACUGCCGUGUGGCUUCUGGUAGGAAAGCUCUUCUCAUUGCACAAAGUGUAGGGAGCAGCUUCUGGAGGAGGGCUCUCAGCACCCAAAGGGGAUGGGCUCCUCUGCAAGGGGGAACGGCGUCAGGCGGAGCCGUGGGAGGUCCAGGUUGGGGGCAAGGGAGCAUCCCACGGCACAGGCGGUGCUGCGGUGGGUUGUGCCAUCGCUGGGCUCUGCAAGCAGCCCUGGAGCAGCCUGAGCCAGCAGGGAGUUGGAAAUACAGCCCUCAAAUGUCCCUUCUGACUCACAGACGUUAUGCCCAUCACCGCUUUGUUACGUCCAUUGCUGCCCAUCACAGCUUUUUUUUGCCCAUCGCUGCUUCCUUGUGCUCAUCACUGCCCAUCAUUGUUUCAUUAUGCCCAACACUGCCUCGUUAUGCCCAUCACUGCUUCAUUGUGCCCAUCACUGCUUCAUUGUGCCCAUCACUGCCUCGUUAUGCCCAACACUGCUUCAUUGUGCCCAUCACUGCUUGUUAUGCCCAUCACUGCCUCGUUAUGCCCAUCACUGCUUCAUUGUGCCCAUCACUGCUUCAUUGUGCCCAUCACUGCCUCAUUAUGUCCAUUGCUGCCCAUCACUGCCUCCUUAUGCCCAUCACUGCUUCAUUAUGCCCCUCACCACCUUGUUAUGCCCAUCACUGCCUCGUUAUGCCCAUCACUGCUUGUUAUGCCCAUCGCUGCCUCCUUAUGCCCAUCACUGCCUCCUCAUGCCAAUCACUGCUCGUUAUGCCCAUCACUGCCCCAUUACGUCCAUUGCUGCCCAUCACUGCCUCCGCGCAGAGCAAAGCAGCCCCUUUUCGGAGAGCGACCCAAGUCCCGCGCCGUCCCACCCUCGCGGUUCUCCUUCUGCACCCCAAAGGAUUUCAGCGCAGGGAGGAGCACAAAGCACACAGAGGAGCCAGGGCCGCUCCGAGCCAAGGCUGCUGUGAGCCAGGGACACGGAGCGGCUCAUCCCGAGCCAAGGCUGCUGUGAGCCAGGGACACGGAGCGGCUCACCCCGAGCCGGGGCGGCCCCUCGUGCGCUCCUGGCUGCGCAGCGCAGCCCCGCACGGAGCGCAGCACAUCGCGCUCGCAGCACGUCGGCCUCGCACGCUCAGCACGGCCGCUAAGUGCUUCCACAUGGCGCCCGCAGGCUGCAGACGGAGGUCCGGCAGCACAGCACAGCAGCACGGCGGCUGCCAGCCCUCCCCGCCCGCCCUGAUGUUGUAAGCAGAAGCUGCUGACUCCAAACGGCCCCAGCGUCUCCUGCGGGGCAUUCCUUCAUCAGCAGAGGGCUUGCAGUGGGACAGGGAGGGGAUCGUUCCUACCAACUGCAGCAACUGCAGCACUGCACCCAGGGUGGGGGUCCCAGCACAAGAAGGACAGGGAGCUGUUGG
rnacentral:lncRNA from 1 species